CAUCAGGGGUGGACAGGGGUGGACACCCUCAGUCUCUACUGACGUCCAAGCCACAUACUUUAGGCUAACAAAAGAAGUUUGGGGUCAGUAUUUGAACUUGAUGUAUUUAGAUUUAAAAAAAAAAGUAAUAUACCUAUAUUUAUAAAGUUCUCAUUAUUAAAUAAAACAUUUUAUAAUUAUUAGGUAAUUUAGAAAAUGUCACAAAUGACUUGACAUAUGAACACCAGCCAAAGGGGACUCAAAUAACCUGGGUGUUUUAUGUUUGGACAAGGAACAUCCAGAAUGAAGAUGCCCAGGUCAUUUGAACCAUAAUUAUCAUUUUGACAUUUGUGAGACUAAAUGUCUUUUGUCCCUUCCUUUUUGUGGUAAUAAGACACAGAUCUAACUUUGUGAUUUUAGGAUUAUUUGAUUAUUUCACACCAUUUUGACAAUAAAUAGAUUUAUUCUCUAAGGGAAGGAUGGACAAUUCUACCAUUAAAAAAACACUUAAAACAGACAGCAGUCCCCCACCCAUCUGUCACAAGCAGAUACAGUAUCUUAGCCCCCACCCAUCUUCUCCCCUGGCAGCCUGGGGGCUUAUUUAUUUUUGUGUUGCUGAGUGUGGGGAAUUGGAGCUCAUUGCAUGUCUGACCGUGUCUGUUGGUCCCAGGACUCAGUGAUUGGGGGCCUCAGAACCGAGAGGGAAAACAACAGCAGUAGCUGUACGGAGAGAUAACUGGGUGUAUGCUGUAUAUAACAGAGCUCUGUAUGUGGGUUAAGACACUGUGAUGAGGUCACACUGCUGUGUGUGUUUGUGUUAAUGGGUUAAUAACACCUUCCGCCGGGAGGCAACAGGAGGACAGAGCUGUGAUGUCAGCAGAAGAAUACGUCUUAAUUAGGAUGAGCAGGAAAAAGUUAAAGUGAAGGGCACCAGGUCUUCUCUCUCUGGACUUUCUAUGGCCUCCUUCUCCAGGUACUGCAUCAAAGCGUCACGGUCGUACGGCCCUGUUGGGCCUUUCUUUGUCUGGUCACGUUGCCGCAUGCCAGCUGGCAGCAUGGCAUUCUGGGAGAGAACAAGAGGUCGAAUGUCAUGUUGAUGUGACAUUGAUGACCAGUGAACAGAGAUGACCAAAAAGGACUGUACAGACGGAUUAUGUGACCGAAAACAAGGAGUUAGAGAAGAGAUUAUUCAAUGUUUUGAAAUAUCAGAAGAUCUGCAAGAAUGGUGGGAAAAAGAAUAAGAAAUAAAACUGGUUUUAUUUCAUU